AACGGUCCCCGUAAGAACAACGAAGUUAAGCAACGUCAAGCCUUGCUAGUACCUAGAUGGGUGACCGCUUGGGGAUACCAGCUGCUGUAA